rnacentral:sRNA from 1 species
AUUAUAUUGUUUGCUUUUAAAAUUACCUUAAGGAAAUAACUGUCCGCUUCUAAUAAUGUUUAGUCGUUUAUUUGGUAAGUAAUUAAAGCACCAUCACUCUCCUGCCCUCGUCUUCAGGUGAUAAUCUAGACAUAGAGGGAGUGAGCCAACAAGUUGCUGUUAGAGUUAACUUGUUCCCUAACCCAUCUUGUGAAUAUCAAUGCUAACAACAGUGUCUUGUGUUUUUUUUUCUUUUCUUUUCUUUUUCUUUAAAUCAAUGUGCUUUUUUCCUAUGUGAAUAACUAUAUGUCUAGAAACAGCCAUGGAGUGAUUUUGCUGUUCUGAAUGGGGGAAAGAUUAAUAGUGACAUUUGGAAGGAUUUGCAUGCAGCCACUGUUAACCCGGACCCCAGUUUAAAAGAGUUUGAAGGAGCAACCCUACGCUAUGCAUCUUUGAAACUCAGAAAUGCCCCACACCCUGAUGAUGAUGAUUCUUGUAGUAUCAACAGUGACCCAGAAGCCAAGUGUUUUGCUGUGCGUUCUCUGGGAUGGGUAGAGAUGGCAGAAGAGGACC